GAUGAAGAACGUAGCGAAAUGCGAUAAGUAAUGUGAAUUGCAGAAUUCAGUGAAUCAUCGAAUCUUUGAACGCACAUUGCGCCCGCCAUUAUUCUGGCGGGCAUGCCUGUUCGAGCGUCAUUUCAACCCUCAGGCCCCCAGUGCCUGGUGUUGGGGAUCGGCCCAGCCUUCCUGUAAGGCCGCCGGCCCCGAAAUCUAGUGGCGGUCUCGCUGUAGUCCUCCUCUGCGUAGUAGCACAACCUCGCAGUUGGAACGCGGCGGUGGCCAUGCCGUUAAACACCCCACUUCUGAAAGUUGACCUCGGAUCAGGUAGGAAUACCCGCUGAACUUAAGCAUAUCAAUAAGCGGAGGA
rnacentral:misc_RNA from 1 species